UGGGGAAUCGUCUAACGGUAGGACAGCGGACUCUGACUCCGCCGGUCCAGGUUCGAAUCCUGGUUCCCCAG
rnacentral:tRNA from 1 species